AACGAACGCUGGCGGCGUGCUUAACACAUGCAAGUCGAACGCGAAAGGGACUUCGGUCCUGAGUAAAGUGGCGCACGGGUGAGUAACGCGUAGAUAACCUGUCUUCAUGUCUGGAAUAAUACGCCGAAAGGGUACUAAUACCGGAUAUUCUUGCUUUUCAUAAGUUAUGCAAGCAAAGGUGGCCUCUGCAUAUGCUACUGCAUGAAGAGGGGUCUGCGUACCAUUAGCUAGUAGGUGGGGUAAUGGCCUACCUAGGCGACGAUGGUUAGCGGGUCUGAGAGGAUGAUCCGCCACACUGGCACUGGAACACGGGCCAGACUCCUACGGGAGGCAGCAGUGAGGAAUAUUGCGCAAUGGGGGAAACCCUGACGCAGCGACGCCGCGUGAGUGAGGAAAGGCCUUCGGGUCGUAAAGCUCUGUCAAGAGGAAAGAAGUGUACAAUGGCUAAUACCUGUUGUAUUUGACGGUACCUCUAAAGGAAGCACCGGCUAACUCCGUGCCAGCAGCAGC
rnacentral:rRNA from 1 species